AACGAACGCUGGCGGCAUGCCUAACACAUGCAAGUCGAACGAAGGCUUCGGCCUUAGUGGCGCACGGGUGAGUAACGCGUGGGAAACUGCCUAUUGGUGGGGAAUAACGACGGGAAACUGUCGCUAAUACCGCAUAAGCCCUUCGGGGGAAAGAUUUAUCGCCGACAGAUGUGCCCGCGUCCGAUUAGCUAGUUGGUGAGGUAAUGGCUCACCAAGGCGACGAUCGGUAGCUGGUCUGAGAGGAUGAUCAGCUACACUGGGACUGAGACACGGCCCAGACUCCUACGGGAGGCAGCAGUGGGGAAUAUUGGACAAUGGGCGAACGCCUGAUCCAGCAAUGCCGCGUGAGUGAUGAAGGCCUUAGGGUUGUAAAGCUCUUUCGGGUGGGACGAUGAUGACGGUACCACCAGAAGAAGCCCCGGCUAACUUCGUGCCAGCAGCCGCCGUAA
rnacentral:rRNA from 1 species